CAACCACAGCUAUAUCAGUUGUAGCUGUUUUAAAAAACGUCCAGAUUUCAAAAAGUGCUAUUUCUUCUGUUCUUCAUCUCUUCUCUUCUGAGUUUUUGACACCUUCGAAGAAACUGAAACUCCAAAUCUUUUCAGUUUCCCUGAAACUUCAGUUUCAAGAAAGUAAAAUCCAGGGAGGGAAGGGAGAUCACCGUCUCCAGCUCUACGGCUAACAGGGAGACUGACUCUCUCCUUAGCCAACCACUGCCUAACGAGGUGGUAGACCCUCAGGAGAGAAGCAUUGGUGGAGAAGGAGUAGGUAAUGGCUUAGAUAUGACGAAGGGGAAGAAGAAGAGAGGGAGACCCAGAAAGUAUGGUCCAGAAGGGAGCAUAGCAAUGGCUGCCUCUCAGGGCUUUUCCUCACCCCCUUCCGAGUUCGCUCUGAAACAGAAUAGAGGGCCGCCGGCGCUGCUAUCGACUGGUUCUGGGAAUCUGCAACAGAUUCCCCAUUCAGGUCCAGAAGGGAGCACAUCAUCGGCUUUCUCUCAGGGCUUUUAUUCACCGAAUCAGAAUAGAGGGCCGCCGCCGCGGGGUUCUGGCAAUCGGCAACAGAUUCCCACUUUGGGUGAAUUGGUUGCGGAUGUAGAAGGAAGAGACUUCACGCUGCACAUGGUUACUAUACAUACAGGGGAGAAUGUCGCUGCAAAGGUAAUUUCACUUAUUGGUCCUCGAGCUGUUUGCAUUCUCUCUGCAAAUGGAUUUGUUUCUAAUGUUACUAUCCGUCAGCCUGGCUCCUUUGGCGUAUUUUGACAUAUGAGGCAUUUUUGAGAUAUACUCUUUAUCUAGGUCCUUUGCAACUACUGAAAAUGGUGUUAUACAUAGUACAACUGGUGGAUUAAGUGUUUCAGUGGCUGGCGUUGAUGGUCGUGUGAUUGGUGGUGCAUUAGCAGGUCAAUUGAUUGCUGCUAGCCCAAUUCAAGUUGUGGUUGGAAGUUUCAAGUCAAAUGAUAAGUCUUGCAAAAGGAAGAACCAUGGUAGAUCUCCAAAGCCUUCAGCAACACCAGGUCCCCAAGACAUGGGGACUGCAGCAAGACCCAUAUCUCAACUCACACCUGAUGAUGACACUUGCUCCAUGCCAACAUCUGCAUUACGAGGACAAGGCCCUGGUGAAGCAGAGAACAGUUCAAACAGUAAUUUAAACCCAGACAAUGCUUUCCAAAGUGCCGAUUGGCAUGGUUCAGAGCACUAAUGCUGUAAUGCAUGUGUGACUGGUGAAUAAUAUAGUUGUGUCUUUCUCUAGAAUAGAUGCUUAUAGAGGCUGGAACGUUUGGUUGCAUGCGCUCUUUGAAUGUAUUGUAGAAUGCAUUCUGAAGUGCCAAAAAUGCCAUCUGGUAAGCAUUCUUAUUCUGAGUUCCUAGGAUGGGAUCAAGAAUUCCCUUCAAUCUGGAACAUGCCAAAAGCCCCAUCAAUCAGUUCAUGCGUUAAUGAUUGGUUUGGAGAUGGCCAAGGAGAAUGUGACUCGGUGACCGUGCUGAUAAUGGUGUCUAAAGGGCUGGUACCGUGCAGUAAUGUACAGCGCUUCAGGGUUUUUUCUCUGCAUAUGAGUGGAAACUUACUCAUUGCUACCGGAAGCUAACUCCAUUGCUUAUCAUCUUGCCAAGUCUGCUGCUAAAUACGAAAUUUCAAGUUCUGUGAUGGUGUGGUCGCCCAUUGUUCUUAAGAAUAUCCAGGCUGAGGGUCUGGGAAGGCCUCAUUAUCGGAUGGAUUAGUGUGGGAUUUUGGGAGAGCCAUUUGAUAUUGAUUGAUUUUAGUAGCUUCUUUUGCUGGUCCUCUUUGUGAUUUCUUCCUGCUGAUGGCAAUGCCAAAGGUGGGAAGAGAUCAUAAGUGGGUUUUUUGUGUUGGUUUGUCCAAAGAUAGAUCUGUAAUUAUUUUAUCCUUUUCCUCCAUUAUUAAUAUAUAUGA